AGGGGAUGGGGGGGUGCCUUAAAGAGACCGUCGCUCUGACGACACGGGCUGUUAAAUAGGGACUCUAGUUCGCCACCUUUCUAGAGCGCCCUCCAGUUCUUUUACUGUAUUGUUUGGUUAUUAUUUGGAUGUUUUAAUUACUGUCAUUUGCAAAGAAGUAUAUUGCUGUUUAAGAGGCUCCUUCGCACACGUUGCCUGACCUAUCUCUGAAGCAGGUUAUUAUCUCCCUAUUAAGCAUUACUCUAGGUUAUGGUGUGUAACCUAACUACCUCAAAAGUGCCCCCGAGGGGUUAGGUGGGUGUGGAAAUGUAGAUCCAGCCAUUUGGAAUCUAUAAAGCUGGGGUGGACUUCGGGAAUCUUUUUUAAUGGAUGUCCCUCAGUGCUGUUGCUGCGCACUCGAAAGCACCUGGUGGAUCUCAAAUUGAGGAAAGCUGACGUUCCAGCAAGGGCUGGGGGACCCGGAGCUGCAGGCAUGGCCCCUAGCUUGGCUCCGCUCUCAGCACAUCUCAGCCUACCAGAGUCCACAACUGAGAACAAAGUCCGCAGCACAGACUGUGUCCGGGACUCUCCGCAGUCUGGCAGAAAUCCAACCACACCACCGCUCUGGAGAACUGACCGGCCAGCCUCCUCCCCACCUGCAGCAGAUCCCUAACAAGCCACCACCUGUCACACCUCUGAGUCCUGCUCCCCGACCCGAGUGUCCUUUUCCUGUGACCCUGCCUCACUUUGCAGCUCUUCCCCUUCUGUCCCACUGGUGCUUUGGUUUAGCUUCAUUUACACAUUUCUUUCCUUUUGCCUUGUCUUGCCAGGAUCAGAACCAGGAUCUGGGUCAAAGAUCUUCUUACAUCCUGCUUAUAAUAAGUCUUGCUCUACUCUCCUGCAAAACGAAGAUGGUACUCCCUGGCUUAGGUCAAGCAUCUCAUCAACUUCAUUUUACCAGAGAGGCUCACAGAGAGGUUUCAGCCUACCAAAAACCACAUAGCAGCCUUCACAGGCCAAGAAAGGAAACCUGUUUGACUCCGAGGGAAGUAGAAGUAUUCCGUUGCUAAAGAAAGCAGAAGUCUAGUAUGGAUGGGCCAUGGGGCCCCACCAGCCUGAGCUGAGAGGAAGAUCCCAUCCAAAGGAGGAAGCUCUGGGUUUGUGACUACAAACUGUCAUAAGGAUGUUCCUUCCUAUGGCUUGAUGGGAACCGAGAGAGCCAGACUUGAUAUCCGGAUGUCUGGAGACGACCAGUCAGAUAGGACUUUGCAAAGUUCAAGGUUCAAAUCACAAUAACUAGAGCUAUGUGCACCCCAACCCUGCCCCCAUCCUUAGAAUAUGCACUGGCUGGGCUUGGUGGCCCACACCUUUAAUCCCAGCACCUAAGAGGCAGAGGCAGAUAGAUCUUUCUGAGUUUGAGGCCAGCCUGGUCUACACAGAGAGUUCCAAGACAGACAGAGCUACAAAGAAAAACCCUGUCUCAAAUAAAUAAAAAUUAAAUAAGAAAGAAAGAAAAUGUGUACCGGAGUCUGCUUGGCCUGUUGGUGUGGACUAUGCCCCACUCCUGAUUUUCUGAAGCACCAAACUCUAACCACAUUUUUAUUCCCAACACAGAUCUGGUAAUCUGGGUGAAAGGGUUGGACCCAUUUUUCACACAAAAGAAAGGCAAGAUAGACAGCAUCCACUAGCCUGGACUACACAAUGAGACCAUGUAAGGACGAAAGGAGAGAGAGAAGUGAGAAAGGGAGAGAAGAAUUCAAAUAUGAGAGUCCAUCUGUUUUGUCCUCAGGUGGCCCAGGAGGUAACCCAGUGGGAGAAAAAUGCCAGAUCCUGUCACGGGCACACGCCCGAGGCUGGCCAACCGGAUCACCUUUGCCCAAGAGCUGGGCAGGGACUCUGGAAGACAGCCAGCCUGGAAAGAGGAAGGAACAGGGGGCAGCUGAUGGCCUGAGGCCUUUGUAGCUACCGCCAACCCACGAACCUCACCCACACUGCUCCCGGUCUUCUGACACCACUGUCCCUUGGUGACUCUUCCUCCUCCGGGUUUCUCGAUGGUUCAUUGUCCCCGUGACUUAAUGGAGAGAAGAGAGAGAGCUGUAUGAUUGGUUCAGCAAGUUCUGAGGUAUCGGUGGAUGAAGGAAUGGAGUAGUCUCCUCCUUCAGAUCAUCAGGGGAGGGAGGCCCUGACAGCUGCCAUACAGAGUGCUCACACGCUUACAUAUGUAAU